rnacentral:rRNA from 1 species
GACGAACGCUGGCGGCGUGCUUAACACAUGCAAGUCGAACGGAAGGGCCAUGCUUUUGUGGGGUGCACGAGUGGGGAGGGGGUGAGUAACACGUGAGUAAACUGCACUUGUCUUUGGGAUAAAUUCAGGAAAAAGGGGCUAAUACAGGAUAGGAGAUCCUGAUGCAUGGGGGGGGUUGGAAAGUGUCGGCGGUUGGGGAUGGAAUCGCGGCUUAUGAGCUUGAUGGUGGGGUAGGGAAGUACAAGGGUUAUGAAGGGUAGCAGGCAUGGGAGGGUGACCGGCGACAUUGCUCCUGCGAUACGCCCCAGACUCCUACCUGAGGCAGCAGUGGGGAAUAUUGCACAAUGGGCCCAAGCCUGAUGCAGCAACCCCGCGUUCGUGAUGACGUCCUUCUGGUUGUAAACCUCUUUCUCCUUUGACGAAGCGUGAUUGACGGUAAUUGGUAAAGAAGCACCGGCUAACUACGUG